rnacentral:rRNA from 1 species
CUAAGUUUGAUGGCGACCGGCGCACGGGUGAGUAACACGUAUCCAACCUGCCGAUGACUCGGGGAUAGCCUUUCGAAAGAAAGAUUAAUACCCGAUGGCAUAGUUCUUCCGCAAGGUAGAACUAUUAAAGAAUUUCGGUCAUCGAUGGGGAUGCGUUCCAUUAGCUUGUUGGCGGGGUAACGGCCCACCAAGGCGUCGAUGGAUAGGGGUUCUGAGAGGAAGGUCCCCCACAUUGGAACUGAGACACGGUCCAAACUCCUACGGAAGGCAGCAG